rnacentral:rRNA from 1 species
AAGUCGUAACAAGGUCUCCGUAGGUGAACCUGCGGAGGGAUCAUUACACAAAUAUGAAGGCGGGCUGGAACCUCUCGGGGUUACAGCCUUGCUGAAUUAUUCACCCUUGUCUUUUGCGUACUUCUUGUUUCCUUGGUGGGUUCGCCCACCACUAGGACAAACAUAAACCUUUUGUAAUUGCAAUCAGCGUCAGUAACAAAUUAAUAAUUACAACUUUCAACAACGGAUCUCUUGGUUCUGGCAUCGAUGAAGAACGCAGCGAAAUGCGAUAAGUAGUGUGAAUUGCAGAAUUCAGUGAAUCAUCGAAUCUUUGAACGCACAUUGCGCCCUUUGGUAUUCCAAAGGGCAUGCCCGUUCGAGCGUCAUUUGUACCCUCAAGCUUUGCUUGGUGUUGGGCGUCUUGUCUCUAGCUUUGCUGGAGACUCGCCUUAAAGUAAUUGGCAGCCGGCCUACUGGUUUCGGAGCGCAGCACAAGUCGCACUCUCUAUCAGCAAAGGUCUAGCAUCCAUUAAGCCUUUUUUUCAACUUUUGACCUCGGAUCAGGUAGGGAUACCCGCUGAACUUAAGCAUAUCA